rnacentral:rRNA from 1 species
CCUACGGGGGGCAGCAGUGAGGAAUAUUGGUCAAUGGGCGCGAGCCUGAACCAGCCAAGUAGCGUGAAGGAUGACUGCCCUACGGGUUGUAAACUUCUUUUAUAAAGGAAUAAAGUGAGGCACGUGUGCCUUUUUGUAUGUACUUUAUGAAUAAGGAUCGGCUAACGCCGUGCCAGCAGCCGCGGUAAUACGGAGGAUCCGAGCGUUAUCCGGAUUUAUUGGGUUUAAAGGGAGCGUAGAUGGGUUGUUAAGUCAGUUGUGAAAGUUUGCGGCUCAACCGUAGAAUUGCAGUUGAGACUGGCAGUCUGGAGUGCAGUAGAGGUGGGCGGAAUUCGUGGUGUAGCGGUGAAAUGCUUAGAUAUCAGGAAGAACACCGAUUGCGAAGGCAGCUCACUGGACUGCAACUGACGCUGAGGCGCGAAAGUGUGGGUAGCAAACAGGAUUAGAUACCCGGGUAGUC